AUUGAACGCUAGCGGCAGGCCUAACACAUGCAAGUCGAACGAGUGGCGGACGGGUGAGUAAUGUAUGGGAACCUGCCUGAUGGCGGGGGAUAACUACUGGAAACAGUGGCUAAUACCGCAUACCAUCGGAUCUGCCGAGAUCGGAUUAGCUAGUAGGUGGGGUAAAGGCUCACCACGGCGACGAGCCCUAGCUGGUCUGAGAGGAUGACCAGCCACACUGGAACGGAGACACGGCCCAGAAUCCUACGGGAGGCAGCAGUGGGGAAUAUUGCACAAGGGGCGAAAGCCUGAUGCAGCCAUGCCGCGUGUAUGAAGAAGGCCUGAGGGUUGUAAAGUACUUUCAGUGGGGAGGCGUUACCGGCAGAAGAAGCACCGGCUAACUCCGUGCCAGCAGCCGCGGUAAUAC
rnacentral:rRNA from 1 species